rnacentral:rRNA from 1 species
GCUGGCGGAAUGCUUUACACAUGCAAGUCGAGCGGCAGCGCGGGGCAACCUGGCGGCGAGCGGCGAACGGGUGAGUAAUGCAUCGGAACGUGUCCAUGUCGUGGGGGAUAGCCCGGCGAAAGCCGGAUUAAUACCGCAUACGCCCGAGAGGGGAAAGUGGGGGACCGCAAGGCCUCACGCGAUUGGAUCGGCCGAUGUCCGAUUAGCUAGUUGGCGGGGUAAAGGCCCACCAAGGCGAUGAUCGGUAGCUGGUCUGAGAGGAUGAUCAGCCACACUGGGACUGAGACACGGCCCAGACUCCUACGGGAGGCAGCAGUGGGGAAUUUUGGACAAUGGGGGCAACCCUGAUCCAGCCAUUCCGCGUGAGUGAAGAAGGCCUUCGGGUUGUAAAGCUCUUUUGUCCGGAACGAAACGGGUAGCGUGAAUAUCGCUGCCUACUGACGGUACCGGAAGAAUAAGCACCG